UACCCUGGGUUCCGGGCAGGGGUGGAACUGGAUUCUGCCUGGAUGGGGAUCGGAUGGGGGUGGAGGUUUGAUUUGGGAAGCAGAGCACAGCAGCCCAAAUUUGUUGUAAUGGCGGCGGCUACAGGUUUCCUAGGUGUCCCCUGGGCUAGAGAAUGCUGCGUUUGCUACGCCGGGUCAGGACUUGGCAUAUGGCAUAAGACACACAGAGAGAGCCUUGCUGGUGUAGCUGAGAUUUACGACCCUCAUCCAACCAAACCAUUUCAGAUUCUUGGGGCUCAGAGCUCUCAUCGGAAAGACAUCUAUUCUGGGAGCAGGUACCCUUGUGACUAUGAAGAUUGACAAAAAGUUGACGGCAACGAUGAAUUCUCUUCCAGAACUUACAUCCCAGAAGGCCCUCCCCUACUUCGGGUCUCCCUAGAGAGUGGAGAGACCUGCUGCCCUUGAAGAAGCAAACAGCCAUGUUGUGAGCUGCCUAAGCCUCUAGGUCUUGAGGGAAGCUUACAGUUAAGAGCCAGCAAAAGCCAGGGCCCUCAGUCAUGCCACACAAGGAAACGAAUCCUGCCAGCAACUAUGGGGGCUUGGAAGAGGAUAUUAAGCUUCAGUUGAGAAUGCAGCCUGACUGACACCAUCAUUGCAGCCUUGUGAGACCCCAAUCAGAGGACCCAGCUGAGCUGUACCCAGACUCCUAACCCACGGAAACUGAGAAAAUAAAUGUGUGCUAUUUAUAGCUG
rnacentral:lncRNA from 1 species